rnacentral:rRNA from 1 species
UACGAAGGGAGCUAGCGUUGUUCGGAAUCACUGGGCGUAAGGCGCACGUAGGCGGAUGUGUCAGUCAGGGGUGAAAUCCCGGAGCUCAACUUCGGAACUGCCUUUGAUACAGCACAUCUGGAGUCCGGAAGAGGUGGGUGGAAUUCCUAGUGUAGAGGUGAAAUUCGUAGAUAUUAGGAAGAACACCGGUGGCGAAGGCGGCCCACUGGUCCGGUACUGACGCUGAGGUGCGAAAGCGUGGGGGAGCAAACAGG